rnacentral:lncRNA from 1 species
UGAGUUUAUUUUAUAGACACAUUUUUUAUUUGUUCUUCUCUUACAUAGUAUAACCUGAAUUAAGUUUCCUCUCUCUCCUUUCUACCAGUCUUUCUACACACCUCUCCUUUUCUCUAGAUUCACCCCCUCUUCUGUCUACAUCCAAUCAAAAAAGACCACAUUUUCAUGUAUAUCCACUAAAUACAGCAUAGCAAGUUACAUUAAGGCUGGAUGAGGCAACCCAGUAGGAAGAAACGGGUCCCAAAAGAGCCAGAGGCAGUCCCUGCUGCCACUAUUAUGAUUUACACAAGAACACAAAUUUACUUAUAGCCAUAGAUAUACUCAGAGGAGCGAGGUCAGACCCAUACAGGCUCCCUGAACUCUAGGAGUCUGUUGAUCGGUAGAUAGUCUUUUUCCUGUGGUGUCCUUACCCUUCUGGGUCUUCCAACACAUCAUACCCCUCCUCCACAGAAAUCCUCAAGCCCCACCUAACAUUUCUCUUUGGGACUACACGUCUGCUCCCAUCAUUUGCUGGAUGAAGUCUCCCUGGACUCUCCUCAAAUGAGGAUUAUGCUAGGAUCUGCUCCCAUCACGUGUUGCCAGCAUGAUAAACUGCAGGUCUGAGGUUUUGUGACUGGGUUCAUAUUCUGAUCCCUCCACUUGAUACUUUUCCUGUUUAAAAUUGGAUGGCCAAUAGAGUCUCUCAUCCUAGGAACAUUAAUGUCACACUUUGCUAGGGUAUCCACCACCAGCAGCAGCAGCAGCAGCGACGCUGACAGCUGCCCACAUUCCAAUACUCAGAAGCCCCAGAUGUGAGAAACCUGGUUUCUGUAUGAACUGCCAUUUUACUAUGUAUCGUGAGAAUGUAAAGAGUUUUGCUGCUCUGCUGUCCCUUUACUUAUCCCAGUAUACUUGUUACAAUGACUACUGUCUUUCCUGUGUUCAGUCCUCAUAACUGUCAUCAUCCCCGCCU